UUUUCUACCGUUGGUCGUGCGUUUCGGUCGUGCGUAGCUUUAAAAGCCAAUAAUAUUUUACAACCAAAUUCUUGUUGUGUGACAGAAAUUUUUCGUGUGUGGUUUUAGCAAAACAAACUAUUUUUUUAAUAAUUAUGAUAUAUUAUUAAAGUUGUAAUUACCUUUAAAGAUCCUUAUUUUAUUUUACAAACUAAUAUUUCCCUCUUACAGAUGAAUAUAACUAGAAUAAUGUUUUUGUUAAAACGUUAAAUAUGUAUUUCUUAUUCAAAAUGAGUUGAUGAAAAAUGAAAAUUAUGACAAUUCAUACUAAGACUCUUGUAAGAUGUUUUUGUAUUUAUACUUCAAUAGGUAAUAAUGAAAACCAAAAUUGUUAGAGUUGAUUUGCCAACAAAAUGUAAAAGUUUCAUUUUAUAAUUUAAGGAAAGUAAAUGUAUAAAUUUGUAACAGUCGAAUGAUAAAUUUGAAGAAUCAAAAAAACAUUUUUUACAAUCUCAUUAUUGUUUAUGAUUUAGAUGGAGAAAAUUAGCAAAAACCAGUAUUCCUUAUAAUAAUAGUUAUAUAUAUAUUUGGAACAAUAAAUUUUUAUUCAAUAUUAUUUUAUGGAAUUACUUCUGUGACAAAUACAAUAUGACAGUUGUUUUUAGUAAUAGUAAAUUGGUAUGAAAAAUAUUGAAGAAUAAAAUACAAGAGAUUUUUUAUAUCAUGUAUUUGCGUAAUAAUGAUGCAGGUGAUGGAACAAUACUUCAAGAGGAUAAGAAGACAGAAAAACAAUAAAAAAUGUUACAAAUUUCAAAAUAAAACAGCUGAUGAAGUGGGGGCCCUCAAAAAUUUGGCACGUGGUCAUACCCACGAUUUCAAGCCUCCUAGCAAUCUGAAACCAAAAAAAAAAAAAGAUAAUUAAUCUAGAAUAAUGUCGUAAUGUCUGGAACUACGGAAAUGUUGGAAAAAUUUUUUUUCACAAAAUGGAGACUGAAAAAAAAAAAAAUUUUGUACCACGUAUUUUGACUGUUUCGAAUUUUUUUACAAAUAGUAAAAAUUGAAAUUUAGGAAUGGGGAUAGUUCCAAACAUAAGCAAGUCUAUAAAGAAGAUUCUCCAAAAAUUUCAUGUAAAUCGGUCCAGUAGAACCUGAGAAAUCGUGGGUAUUCUUUUAAAAGUCAGUUUCUAGAAAAACGCGUUUAAAGUUUCGCGUAAAGUUUUUCGCAGUCAUGAAAUGAUAUUUUAGACUUACAUUUAUUCAAUUUGUCAUUCCUGUUUUAUACAUUGGACCUUCUACGACUUCAAAAAGUUACUUUCUGCGUUUCUCUCUUCAUAUUGAGCAGUUCAGGCCAUUGAUGCGUUGGAUGCAUGUAUCUCUGAGUGGUCAAUCGGGGUGUUUGUAAAAUUCAAACUUUGGAAAUAAUAAGAUCAUAAACUGUAGAUGCGGCCAAAUGUAUGUUUUUGACACAACCGUAGUAUGUAUCGAUUGCUAAUCCUUGACAAAUAUCCAUCAUACUGCAGAAGAUAUUUAUUCCUUCCCUACCAACUCCCAAAAGCCGCAUAGUAAAUAUAAUUCUUCGGUUUACUUCAAAGGAUUUGUCGACGAAUGGACAUGAUGGUAUAUAUUGUACACUAUCUCAACCACAUUGUAAUACAAUUUUAAAACCUAGUCCGCAAUAAGGCGUUUGUGAAAAUUUAAUCUCAUUUUGCAUGUAGUACACAAAAUUAAAGAAGAAAUAGCUGAAAAAAUCUUAAAAAAACUCCAAAACACAGUAGCGUAUAUGCGUCCACGUGGUUUGAAGGUUAGAAUUCAACUAUUAGCAUCUGGAUAUUGAAUAACAACAAGAUAUUAAAACAAAGACACUAACAAAUGGCUUUUACAACAAACAGGUAUACAAAUUUUGAAGACAUCAAAUUUAAUUUGUUUGAAUUGAUUUUAAACUGAAUUUUUGAGAACAAAUAUUGUAACAAUUAACUUCAGUAUAUAUUUUUUAUUUAAUAAAACUAUUUAAUGUAAUAAUUAGAUCAAUUAUUUUAUAAUAUAAAUAUACAUUUAUUGAAUUAAACCAUUUUUACAUCUAUAAACAUUUAAACGAUAUAUCUUUAAAGAAUUUUAAUGUAUGUUACAAACAUUUAAAAUCUCCAAAUUUAAUUAAUUAUAACUUAUUAACAUUUCUUUUUUCUUAUUCUGUUGUUGUUUCCAUAAUUAUUCAUUAAAUAACUACCAACAAAAAUAGUUUGUGCAACCUUGUGUUUAUUAAAAGAUUAAAUCAUUAUGUUAUUCAUUAUAAAUUAUUAAGUUAUUUUUUUAUUAGUUAACAAAAUUUAAAGUGUGUUUGCAUAAUAAAAAAUUGUUUUUUCUAUGUUUUAAAUUGUAAAUAUUCUAAUGAAUUUUAAAAUAUUAAUAAAUAAUAACUAGAAGAUAUUCAUUAUAUUUUUGAUUAUUAUUAAGUAGUGACAAUUUAAAAGUUAAAUUUGGUUUUUUAAUAAAUAAGUACUAUAACCAAGUUUAAAAGCCUGAAAAACCAGUUAAACUUGUUGCAGAAGUCUCAAAUUUUUGCACAUCUUUUUCAUUAAAUUUGGAAAAAAAGAUUGUAUAUAUUUGUAAGUAUGUAAGCUAUCACUCAAAGACUGCAGAAAUAUCCAUUAACAAUUUAUAUGAAUAAUGUUAACUGCAGAAUUUUUUUUCUAUGUUAUUUGUUUUAAAUUAAAUAUUUAAUUUAGAACAA